AUGAAUAUUCUAGAUGAUGCUCUCCAAGGCUUCAGCUUUAGAGGUGGCCACGUGCAUAUCAAGAAACAAAGGAACAAGAAGAUGGGUUUCGCGCAUAAAACUAACUUCUCCUGCAUCCAUGUCCCAAAACCAAGCAAGAAGGAUGGAUUCUACAUCGCCCAUCUCAUGAUUCAGUUCAACACGGAUCACCAAAAGCUUCGCAUUAACAGCAGAAAUGAUGAUCAAAUCCACAAGUGGCUAGAAUCUCAUGGAGAAGCGAAUUAUAAACUUAGAGAUGACUUCUUUCGCAUCCAAAGCGACAUUGCGACGAUCAUCAUGAAAGAAGUCGCCGAUGAGAAGGGGAUGUUCCACCACGGCCCUAUAUCGCGAGCUGACGUCCGAACUCGCAUAGGCAUGCAACGUCUAGACCUCACGCCGUUCAAGAAGCUAGGGUUCGUCCUCGAUGAUAUGGAAGGAUGA
rnacentral:rRNA from 1 species